UGACCGAUAGUGAACCAGUACCGUGAGGGAAAGGCGAAAAGAACCCCGGCGAGGGGAGUGAAAAAGAACCUGAAACCGUGUACGUACAAGCAGUGGGAGCCCCACCACUAAGCCAGUGGUGAACUCCACAUACGCAUCCUUUGCUGAGGAUACGGUUAACGGAGCGAAAGCGACGUUCAACCGCAAAAGAAGCAGAGGGGGCUUAGUGGUGGGGUGACUGCGUACCUUUUGUAUAAUGGGUCAGCGACUUAUAUUCUGUAGCAAGGUUAACCGAAUAGGGGAGCCGGAGGGAAACCGAGUCUUAAUUGGGCGUUAAGUUGCAGGGUAUAGACCCGAAACCCGGUGAUCUAGCCAUGGGCAGGUUGAAGGUUGGGUAACACUAACUGGAGGACCGAACCGACUAAUGUUGAAAAAUUAGCGGAUGACCUGUGGCUGGGGGUGAAAGGCCAAUCAAACCGGGAGAUAGCUGGUUCUCCCCGAAAGCUAUUUAGGUAGCGCCUCGUGAAUUCAUCUCCGGGGGUAGAGCACUGUUUCGGCUAGGGGGCCAUCCCGGCUUACCAACCCGAUGCAAACUGCGAAUACCGGAGAAUGUUAUCACGGGAGACACACGGCGGGUGCUAACGUCCGUCGUGAAGAGGGAAACAACCCAGACCGCCAGCUAAGGUCCCAAAGUCAUGGUUAAGUGGGAAACGAUGUGGGAAGGCCCAGACAGCCAGGAUGUUGGCUUAGAAGCAGCCAUCAUUUAAAGAAAGCGUAAUAGCUCACUGGUCGAGUCGGCCUGCGCGGAAGAUGUAACGGGGCUAAACCAUG
rnacentral:rRNA from 1 species